GUCCUUGCCGUAAACGAUGCAUACUUGGUGUAGUUGGACUCAACCCCGACUGUGCCGUAGCUAACGCGUUAAGUAUGCCACCUGGGGAGUACGCCCGCAAGGGUGAAACUCAAAAGAAUUGACGGGGGCCCGCACAAGCAGUGGAGCAUGUGGUUUAAUUCGAUGCAACGCGAAGAACCUUACCCAGGCUUGACAUAUAGAGGACCGCUCUAGAGAUAGAGUUUCCCGCAAGGGCCUUUAUACAGGUGCUGCAUGGCU
rnacentral:rRNA from 1 species